GAUGAAGAACGUAGCGAAAUGCGAUAAGUAAUGUGAAUUGCAGAAUUCAGUGAAUCAUCGAAUCUUUGAACGCACAUUGCGCCCCCUGGUAUUCCGGGGGGCAUGCCUGUCCGAGCGUCAUUACAACCCUCAAGCUCUGCUUGGUGUUGGGCCCCGCCGCCCCGGCGGGCCCUAAAGUCAGUGGCGGUGCCAUCCGGCUCCGAGCGUAGUAAUUCUUCUCGCUCUGGAGGUCCGGUUGUGUGCUUGCCAUCAACCCCCAAUUUUUUUCAGGUUGACCUCAGAUCAGGUAGGGAUACCCGCUGAACUUAAGCAUAUCAAUAAGCGGAGGA
rnacentral:misc_RNA from 1 species